CACAAGCAACCCACUCCUCUGCAUUUCCAGCUGCUCAAACCCCAGGUUUCAGACAGGGUUCCUUUCUUCCUGGAGUCUUCCUGCAAUUCUGCCUCCUCAGCCUCUUCCAGGAAGGAUUUCAUCUCAGCCAACUUGACUUUAGCUCUGUGAGACCCAGUAUGGAUUUCUGACUUUCAUAAGCAUAAGGAAAACUGCCAGCCAUCUCUUAGCUUCUCACCAUCCAGGCAAAUGGAGAACGUGGCAUCUUCACUGACUGAUCCAGAACUACAGAUGUUAGGCAUCUUCCCAACAGGCCAGAAAUGACUACAUGCCGCACAGCAAGACAGCAGGGCAGAGAAACCCUCCGGAGAGCGCCGUCAACCCCGGGCGGCCCCGUCCCCACUGCACUUCCCUGGGCCUCUGAGGGUCACUCCUUUGGAAAACUCAUCUACGUCAACAGUGAUUUUUCUCAAGGAAAAAUUGAGACAUGGAACCCUAGCUCGGAUUGGAGUGUAGGGAACAGAAGUUGGGCGUUUCUACUUUUAGAAGGCCAAGAGGACAGGACAGAUAGAUGGAAUAGCUCAACACUGAGUCCAGAACAGCAGGGGCUGACCUCUCACUUGAGAACCAGAGACUCUGUUCUUCAAUGCAGACUACGUAAUUGAUGCGCAGAAUUCCCAUCACACUGUAAGGAAACUAUCUGUUCAGACCAGUGUUUUUCAGGUCCAACCUAACAGUCUUUUAUGAGGAGACUGAUUCCUGAAUGGGGGGGGCUGUCUUAGACAUUGUAGACACUUAGCAACAUCUUCUGUCUAGUUGUAACAACCCAAAAUGUCUCCAGCUAGUGCCAAGUGUCCAUCAUUGAAAACCACUGAUUCAGAGUAUGGAUGUAUCAAGGGUUAAGGCCUCUGUCUGCACUCCUCAAGCCUCCCCACUGCCUGACAUGGGGGCUGGCCCCGAGUAGAAACCUCAAAAUAUGUGUGGACUCCCAAGCAUCAGCUUGCAAAGCAGGUCUUAUGUGCUACAGCAGAGGCUCAGCGGGUCCUAGGUCUCCUGAGUCACACAGCUGGGAAGGAUAAGGCAAGUGUCUUUGCAGAUAAGCCAUUUCCAAACCCCAGAUGAGGAUCAGGGAGCUAGUAGAGAUCUGGCUCAGGACACUCCUGCUUUCUAGCUCUGGCAGCCAAGGAAUGAGGCAGUUGAUGCCACUCGGACAGAACCUUCCAAGUGCCUGCAGCUGUUAAUUAACGAGGAGUGCGUUCCGAGGCUGGCUGGAGUCUGGGCCCUCUGUGCCGCCUGCAAAGCGCCCUGUGGCCCCAGCAAGUGUGAGCAGAGCAGGGUAAAAAUUUUCAAAGCUUUCUCUCGGGUCUUAAACUGGUGAAUCAAUGAUAAAUGAUAACAAUUUGAACCAUGUCUGCAAUGUGAGUUGGUCAGAGCAGGCUCAGGGUCCCAGCGCAGUCAGGCUAUGAAUGAGUUUAGUUCCAGUGUGGAAAUGCUGUCUUAAUUAGGUUUGGAUUCUGCUUUUCUUUUCUGAACAGGAAAGUAGAACAGAGUAAAUUGUCUGAUUCAUAUUUGAACGUGGGAGUAUGGUGGAGGUGGGGGAAGGCACUCAGGAGGUUUGCAGUCUGGUACUCAAUUUGCUCAUCAGAAAAGUCAAAUUUCUAACUCCAUAACUGCUAUUUUCUCUCCAAAUCAUGCUAAUGAUUAAGAAUGCAGACAGAAACUGGAGAGAUUGCUCAGUGGUUAAGAUACUUAGCUGCAAAGUCUAACAACCUGG